rnacentral:lncRNA from 1 species
UGGGUGGCUGCUGGUUCUUCGGCAUCUGGUAGAAACGAGCAGCUAUUGGUGGUCAGCUGGUGGUCGUUUGGCCGAAGAUGAAGACGUUUCAGGGGGUUUUGGGUAGCUACUCAUUGGUGUUGUCCAGGUGAGAUGGGCGGCGGCCGUUUUGUGGUGAGGGAGAUGGGUGUUCCGCUAGGGUUAACUCUUGUAGUUUCCAUUGUUGUGUACUUGUCUAGUUCCUUAGUUCAAAAGAUGAGUCCAUGGCUGCUCCGAGGGCUUUAG